GACAGAGGGUGCAAACGUUGCUCGGAAUCACUGGGCGUAACGGGUGCGUAGGCGGUUGGGUAAGUCUGACGUGAAAUCUCCGAGCCUAACUCGGAAACUGCGUUGGAUACUAUCCGGCUAGAGGAAUGGAGGGGAGACUGGAAUACUUGGUGUAGCAGUGAAAUGCGUAGAUAUCAAGUGGAACACCAGUGGCGAAGGCGAGUCUCUGGACAUUUCCUGACGCUGAGGCACGAAAGCCAGGGGAGCAAACGGG
rnacentral:rRNA from 1 species